rnacentral:rRNA from 1 species
UACGUAGGGGGCAAGCGUUGUCCGGAUUUAUUGGGCGUAAAGAGCGUGUAGGCGGCUAGGUAGGUCCGUUGUGAAAACUCGAGGCUCAACCUCGAGACGCCGAUGGAAACCAUCUAGCUAGAGUCCGGAAGAGGAGAGUGGAAUUCCUGGAUGUAGCGGUGAAAUGCGCAGAUAUCAGGAAGAACACCCGUGGCGUAAGGCGGCUCUCUAGUACGGUACUGACGCUGAGACGCGAAAGCGUGGGGAGCGAACAGG